GACGAACCGUGCGAACGUUGUUCGGAUUCACUGGGCUUAAAGGGCGCGUAGGCGGUCGACCAAGUCUGGGGUGAAAUCUUUCGGCUUAACCGGAAAAGUGCCCCCGAUACUGGCCGGCUAGAGGGAGAUAGGGGUAUGCGGAACUAUCGGUGGAGCGGUGAAAUGCGUUGAUAUCGAUAGGAACUCCGGUGGCGAAGGCGGCAUACUGGAUCACAUCUGACGCUGAGGCGCGAAAGCCAGGGGAGCAAACGGG
rnacentral:rRNA from 1 species